rnacentral:ribozyme from 1 species
AACAGCAAAUUCUUGGCAAUGGGGUAGGUUCCGAAGCCUCUAAGAAGGCUAACACAGGUUCUCCUAUCUAACUCCUAUCCUGACACGUCCUUUACGUGCCAAAUGGUAACAUGUGUCAUCAAAUAUCCAAGCUUGGGUACCCCUUGGGCGGAUGAUAAUGCAUGGGAAAGCAGGAAGGG